CCCUUGGGGCCUGGCUGGCCGGUCUGCCUCACCCGCAUGUACUGGUUCGGCCGGGUCUUUCCUCCCUGGGGAUCCGCAUGCCCUUCACUGGGUGUGUUGGGGAACCAGGACUUUUACUUUGAAAAAAUUAGAGUGUUCAAAGCAGGCCUUUGCUCGAAUACAUUAGCAUGGAAUAAUAGAAUAGGACGUGCGGUCCUAUUUUGUUGGUUUCUAGGACCGCCGUAAUGAUUAAUAGGGAUAGUCGGGGGCAUCAGUAUUCAGUUGUCAGAGGUGAAAUUCUUGGAUUUACUGAAGACUAACUACUGCGAAAGCAUUUGCCAAGGAUGCUUUUCAUUAAUCAGUGAACGAAAGUUCAGGGGAUCGAAGACGAUCAGAUACCGUCGAGCUUA
rnacentral:rRNA from 1 species